UACGGAGGGUGCGAGCGUUGUUCGGAAUCACUGGGCGUAAAGGGCGUGUAGGCGGUCCGCUAAGUCUGAUGUGAAAGCCCGUGGCUCACCCCCGGAAGGGCAUUGGAAACUGGCGGACUCGAGUCCCGGAGAGGAGGGUGGAAUUCCUGGUGUAGCGGUGAAAUGCGUAGAUAUCAGGAGGAACACCAGUGGCGAAGGCGGUGCUCUGGGCCGGAACUGACGCUGAGGAGCGAAAGCGUGGGGAGCAAACAGG
rnacentral:rRNA from 1 species